GACGAAGGGGGCUAGCGUUGUUCGGAAUUACUGGGCGUAAAGCGCAUGUAGGCGGCAGCGCAAGUCGGGCGUGAAAUCCCACGGCUCAACCGUGGAAGUGCACUCGAAACUGCGCAGCUAGAGUCCUGGAGAGGAAGGUGGAAUGCUUGGUGUAGAGGUGAAAUUCGUAGAUAUCGGGAGGAACACCGGUGGCGAAGGCGGCGAUCUGGGUAGAUACUGACGCUGAGGCGCGAAAGCGUGGGGGAGCAAACAGG
rnacentral:rRNA from 1 species